UUUUCCGUGAGGGAUGCAUUGAAGUAAGUCAAACGGCAAAAGUUGGUACUGUUGGACACUCCUGAGAACGAGAGUUCGAAAGGAUAUCGCGAAGCGAGGCAUAUGAGGCAUAGGCGGUAGGAUGAGUAAGCACAUCAUUACGAAGUCCGAAUGUGGGAAUCACGCUGUAAUUCGAAACACAGUACCAUCUAUGUAGAUGUCGCAGGGAUCAACGGAAAGAAGGUGUC
rfam:Flammeovirga sp. SJP92 Scaffold4_10, whole genome shotgun sequence.